rnacentral:rRNA from 1 species
AGUGAACGCUGGCGGGAGGCCUAACACAUGCAAGUCGAACGGCAGCACAGGAGAGCUUGCUCUCUGGGUGGCGAGUGGCGGACGGGUGAGGAAUACAUCGGAAUCUACUCUGUCGUGGGGGAUAACGUAGGGAAACUUACGCUAAUACCGCAUACGACCUACGGGUGAAAGCAGGGGACCUUCGGGCCUUGCGCGAUUGAAUGAGCCGAUGUCGGAUUAGCUAGUUGGCGGGGUAAAGGCCCACCAAGGCGACGAUCCGUAGCUGGUCUGAGAGGAUGAUCAGCAACACUGGAACCGGGACACGGUCCAGACUCCUACGGGAGGCAGUCGUAGGGAAUAUUGGACAAUGGGCGCAAGCCUGAACCAGCCAUACCGCAUGGGUACAGAAGGCCUUCGGGUUGUAAAGCCCUUUUGUGGGGAAAGAAAUCCAGAUGGCUAAUACCCGGUUGGGAUGACGGUACCCAAAGAAUAAGCACCGGCUAACUUCGUGCCAGCCGCCGCGGUAA